AGAGCGAACGCUGGCGGCAGGCCUAACACAUGCAAGUCGAGCGCCCCGCAAGGGGAGCGGCAGACGGGAGAGUAACACGUGGGAACGUACCCUUCAGUUCGGAACAACCCAGGGAAACUUGGGCUAAUACCGAAUACGUCCGUAAGGAGAAAGAUUUAUCGCUGAAGGAUCGGCCCGCGUCUGAUUAGCUUGUUGGUGAGGUAACGGCUCACCAAGGCGACGAUCAGUAGCUGGUCUGAGAGGAUGAUCAGCCUCACUGGGACUGAGACACGGCCCAGACUCCUACGGGAGGCAGCAGUGGGGAAUAUUGGACAAUGGGCGCAAGCCUGAUCCAGCCAUGCCGCGUGGGUGAUGAAGGCCCUAGGGUUGUAAAGCCCUUUCGGCGGGGAAGAUAAUGACGGUACCCGCAGAAGAAGCCCGGCUAACUUCGCGCCAGCAGCCGC
rnacentral:rRNA from 1 species